UACGAAGGGGGCUAGCGUUGUUCGGAAUCACUGGGCGUAAAGCGCGCGUAGGCGGAUUGUUAAGUCGGGGGUGAAAUCCCGAGGCUCAACCUCGGAACUGCCUUCGAUACUGGUAAUCUUGAGUCCGGGAGAGGUGAGUGGAACUCCUAGUGUAGAGGUGAAAUUCGUAGAUAUUCGCAAGAACACCAGUGGCGAAGGCGGCUCACUGGCCCGGUACUGACACUGAGGUGCGAAAGCGUGGGGAGCAAACAGG
rnacentral:rRNA from 1 species